rnacentral:rRNA from 1 species
AGAGUUUGAUCAUGGCUCAGAAUCAACGCUGGCGGCGCGCUUAACACAUGCAAGUCGCACGAGAAAGAGGGGGCAACUCCUUAAGUAAAGUGGCGCACGGGUGAGUAACACGUGGAUCAUCUACCUUUUAGUGGGGAAUACCCCCGGGAAACUGGGGACAAUUCCGCAUAAUCUCGCGAGAGGAAAGCAGCAAUGCGCUG